rnacentral:rRNA from 1 species
UACGUAGGGGGCUAGCGUUGUCCGGAAUCAUUGGGCGUAAAGCGCGCGUAGGCGGCCCGGUAAGUCCGCUGUGAAAGUCCAGGGCUCAACCCUGGAAAGCCGGUGGAUACUGCCGGGCUAGAGUCCGGAAGAGGCGAGUGGAAUUCCUGGUGUAGCGGUGGAAUGCGCAGAUAUCAGGAGGAACACCGAUGGCGAAGGCAGCUCGCUGGGACGGUACUGACGCUGAGGGCGCGAAAGCGUGGGAGCGAACAGG